AGAGUUUGAUCAUGGCUCAGAAUCAACGCUGGCGGCGUGCCUAACACAUGCAAGUCGAACGCGAAAGUCCCGCAAGGGAUGAGUAGAGUGGCAAACGGGUGAGUAACGCGUGGGUGACCUGCCUUCGAGCGGGGGAUAACGUUUCGAAAGGGACGCUAAUACCGCAUGACAUCCUGCCUUUGAAGAGGUGGAGAUCAAAGCUGGGGAUCGCAAGACCUAGCGCUUGAAGAGGGGCCCGCGUCCGAUUAGCUAGUUGGUGGGGUAACGGCUCACCAAGGCAUCGAUCGGUAGCCGGCCUGAGAGGGCGGACGGCCACACUGGGACUGAGACACGGCCCAGACUCCUACGGGAGGCAGCAGUGGGGAAUUGUUCGCAAUGGGCGCAAGCCUGACGACGCAACGCCGCGUGGAGGAUGAAGAUCUUCGGGUCGUAAACUCCUUUCGAUCGAGACGAAUUCCCUUGGGGUGAAUAGUCCCGAGGGUGACGGUACCGAGAGAGAGC
rnacentral:rRNA from 1 species